AGCCACUUGAUCAUUUUUGCCUACAAAUAGCGCAUAUCUGCAUGCUGUCACAAUAAGGGCAUCAUCAGCUGAUAUUGCUGCUCUCUUUCUCUAGACACCCAGCUGAAUCAAGUGUUGAUCAAUGUCUUCCGCUAGUGGCGCUUUGCUUAGGAAGGUCAUUCCUGUUGCAGCCUGCACCGUGCUGGUCCUGUUGUCCAUGGGUCCGCCGGCGAUGGCAGACAAGAACGACGAUUGUGCCGCCAUUUGUCGUCCUGCAUGCGAUGGCUUCACUUCCGAGGUGUGCGGGAGCCUCAAUGGAACCUUGCCUGCCCUGGGUAAUAUUGGUUUCUUCUAUACAACAUGCAAGGUGCGGGUCUCUUCAGCAUGUAGGACCCUUUGCUUCAACGUCUGCACCCUCAACACCCUGACGCCAGCGCCGGGUAGCACUGCCGCGCCACCACCAUGAAAGCCAUAAUGCAAGCCAUAAUCAAAAUAUUAUCUAUGUAAUAAUAAAGUGCCCUAGCUCCUGAUAUGAGCCUACUGCCAGAGCAAGCAUAUAUACGCAUCUGAUCUGGUGUCCAGCGAUAUGCUUUCGAACCGAUGUUUAAUGCAAGAAUAAAUUUCCUUGUCCAGGAAAUAUCCUGUUGUCUCUUCUCUUUACUACAUAAAUGAUUUUUUGCUGGCGAGUAAAUAGGCUCUGUGCUGGCGGGCGGAGCACCCGCCAUCAACUUUGAGCCAGCACAAAUGGCUCUCUGUGCUGGUGGAUACUCGCCCGCUAGCCCAGACAUCUCUGUGCUGGCGGGUGGUUAGGUAGCCCCCAACACAGUGUCUUUUUAAUAAUAAAAAAAAGCAUGGCCACCGGCAGCGCCCGUACGCCGCCGCUCGUCCCGCCCUAGUCACCGGCUGGCCGCGCGCCCGCCUGGGUCUCCGCUCGCUGCCCGCACCUGGCCCUGAAUCAUGGCUCCCGGCUGCCACGCUGCUCCCAACCUUGCCGCGCCAUCCAGACUUCGUGAUGGCCCCUGCCUCACCAGCAUCAGCACCCGCCAUGGGGCCAUAUCGGCUGUCUUCGUGGCUGGCGCCCUCGCAGCCCUAGCCGCCCACAGCCACCCGCGCUGCCCCGGCUACCCGCCGCGCUAGAGCUGUCCACGCCAGCUGCCCACGCCGCCGGAGCCUCGCUGCGCCAGAGCCGCCCACGCUGCGCUUGGGUGAGGGGAUUGGAUAAGGAGAGAGAGGGGGAGAGGAAGGGGAUAAGAGGGGAGGGAUCCGGUAGAGGAGGUUUCAACCAAUAGGAGAGCUCGAUUUUAGAGACACGAAUCGCUGAUGUGGCGGAAUGUGUUUCUUUCAUAACGUUAUAACGAAGUUUUGGGCAGCUAAAUAAUUUUAAAUGAAAUAUUUGUCAACUACAAAAUUUUAUAUCUCGUUAAGCACUACAACUUUGAUAUAGAGCUUGUUUCCAUCCAAGCUCAUUUGAAAAUUUUAAAAUUCAAGAUUUCAAAAUUAGAGAGAUUACAAUGAUAUUUUGAGCUAUUAAACAAUUUUAAAUGAAAAAGUUGUCAACUACAAAAUUUUAGAUCUAAUCUAAACAUACAACUUUGAUAUAAAGUUUGUAUUCAUCCGAGAUCAUAUGAAAAAGUUUGUAUUCAAAAAAUACAUCUUCCAAACUUAGGUUGAAUCAACCCAUAGUGACAAGUGCACUAACUACUCAUUAUAAUUUGUGUUAUCUAUGAAAUAAUAUUUUUUAAUUUCACUAAAUAACAUUUAUGUGAAUGUGUAAAGUUUGAAAAAUUUCAAAAUCAUUUGAUAAGUAUUUAAACAAUUUUGAAUUUUCUUGAAAGCACUGUGCUGGCGGGCAAUUAUGUGGCCCACCAGCAAAGUGCAUCCAUCAACACAGUGCAUGGGCAUGCGCACUGUGCAUGACAGUGGGCAUGUGCAUGCACACAGUGCAUGGCCUUUGCAUGACAGUGCAUGUGCAUGGCGGGUGUUUAAGUGGCCGGCCAGCACUGAACAUGUACAUUUGUGCUAGCGGGUGAUUAUGUGACCCGUCAGCAUAGUGGCUACUGUACUGGCGGGUGCUGCCCUGCCAACAUAAGGAACCUUUAUGCUGGCGGGUGCCAAUCAUGUCUGCUAGCACAAAUCGUUUUUGGCGUAGCGAUGGUGUCAGUGCCAUUAACUAAAACUCUUUGAUAUUUCACUUCCAUCUAUGCUCUUGGAAAUGCAUUGAGACUCCUUUAGGAUUCAACGAAAGCUGUUGCCGCCAUACAUAGAAACACUCAUCGGCUCGGGCUCGACGUGAAGUUUCCUAGCAACGGCAUCUUGCUGCUAUGUUUUGCAGGAGCCUCACUACUAAGUCUCCCUAUCCUGAAUUUCUUCUAUGCACGUGCACCCCAAGAUGUAUUUCAAAUUACAUUGAUUACGGAGGAAAAUAUGUGCCAUGCAUUUAGCUAUAUGCACAUUUGGAGGCGUGCAAGCCACAAUCGUGCUGCCUACAAAUAACGCAGCUGCUACUGUCCCGAUAUCGGCAUCAGCGUAUAUCGCUAUCUUUCUAAAACGUGCGAUGGCCGCCCGGCUUGUGUUCGUGCCUGCAAUGACUUCGUUUCUAAAACAUGCGAUAUAGUCAUUGACAUCGCCCCUAUCCUUUAAACUGUGACUUCCUUCUUACGGACGUGCAAGCGGAAAGUCUCUCGAUUAUGGCCCGUACGUCCUGAUUUGGACGGCGGAAAAUCCGUUGCCACCUCUAAUUUUCUUGUGCAAAAAAUUAAAUGGAGCACGUUCGCUCAUUGUCCACUCCGAUCCCUUGGGUCAAUGCGUACAAUGCGUACAUGUCCACCCCUAGUUGUCUUCCUAUGAAUUGAUUACCCUAAUCUCAUGUUGGACUUGGCAUUGGAUCCUAGCCUACAAAUAGUGCAUCUGCUAUAGUGUCCCGGGAUCCUGCUGCAUGCAUCUAGUCCCUGCUCAUCAAUGGCUUCCGCUAACGGCGCCAUGCUUAGGAAGGCUAUUCCUGUUGCCGCCUUCAUCGUGCUUGUCUUACUGUCCAUGGGUCCUCCGGUGAUGGCCGACAUACAGGAUGAAUGCCGCGCGGCUUGUCUUCCUCCCUGCAAUGACUUCGUUUCUGAUGCGUGCAAUAUCGUCACUCGUAUCGCCCCUGUACUUAAACUCAAGAAGUCCUUCUUACGGGAGUGCAAAGAGCAAGUCUCUCCAGUUUGUGUUCCCACCUGCAUCAGGUUCUGCAUCGGCUUCAGCAUGCUGCCUGGCGCCCCGACACCGGCGCCGGCCAGCACCGCCGCGCCACCACCAUGCAAGCCAUGAUGCUGCCAGCGAGUUACUUCUUAAAUAUUACUAAUACAUAAUAUCUAUGUAAUAAAGUGUCCUAUAGCUCCGGCUAUGUGCCAACUGCCGUCCAGAUGAAGCAUGCCUGUAAUGCGUUGUCAUCGGUGUUCAUGAGCUAAGCCUCAAGAAUAUGUAUCUGAUCCGGUGUUUAAUGGGGGUAUAAAUUCCCCCCUUAUCGUUCUGGUUGUUUUCUAGUUACUCAUCUCUGUGUGCAGAACUCUAUACUCCCUGUUGGGGAACUGAUCUCCGUGUUGAGUUCUUUGUCUUUCAGUGUCUAGAGUCUAAGACCUUGGACAAAGAUCGAAGGUGAUGUGGCCCUUUGGAGAAAAGACAGAGGCUUACAAUUCAUCAGGUGAUAUGGUAUGUUUCACUCUCCUAAAGCAGAGGAGACUUCACUAGAUAAGCAAGAGGGGUUUCGCCAAUUAAGCCGGAUGGGCUUCGCUUGUCAGAAGAGUGAAAGGUGUCAAGAAGUUACACGAACGUGUGUGGAGAGGAAGAGAAGAAGCUUCAGUGCAUAUACAUGUCACCAUGUUCUUGGUAAGUUGGCUUGGAAUACAAAUCCUCUGAAACAAUUUUCUUCCAAACUGCGUAUUCAUUUUUAAAACUGUUUGCACCAGUAUAUUAUUUAUGGUUAAUUCAACAAAACUAUGUCACACACAUAUAUAUUUUUUAAAAAUUAAAUGUAGAAAUAAAGCUUUGGAAAUUUUUCUGUUUACUUGAAAUUUUUAUUCUAAAUUAACUUUUUAUUCUAUCCGGAAUAUUUCUUUCUUGAUCACAAUUUUUUCUUUAAAAAUAUUUGUUCUCAGAAAAGUUUCUAUUCUUUGUGGAACAUUCUUAUUCCUUCCAUGAAAAAAUUGCUUGGAACAUAUUUUAUUAUUGAACAAUUUAUUUAAAUGAAAUAUUUUCUCAGAAUAUUUUUCUUGUGCCCACAUUUUUUUAUGUCUUUAUUCGUUGGCUAAAUAAUAAGCCCAAUUGCAUCGCUUUAGUUGGACUUAGUGGGCUGACCUAUUACCUACAUCUAGGACUUCGUCUAACUCCCCGGCCAAUGCUAUUUGUCAGUCAUUCAAUCUUUCACUCCAUACUUGGUCACCUUUAGAUUGGUUCUACCAAGAGGAUUCAUAGCCUUUUCUUGUUCUCGAGCUUCCUUGAGACCCAGACGCACAACACACCAUUAGAGUACAAGCACUAAACUCCCUCUCCCCUCACCUCUCCAAUUUAGAUGAAUCAUUUUGGGGCUUCUACGCUGCUUAAUUCACCCACAUCAGAUGGACCUAUAGGGCAGCAUAAUGAUUUGGCGUCUGGAGCAGAAUGGGGUGGUGAGCUGGGCAACGUCAUCCACCUGUACAUGUUUUUAGAUGUACUGUAGCAACACGCUCGUCCUAAUAAAUUAAUUACCAGCCUCCCCCCAAAAAACUUUCUUUUUCAGAAUAUCAAGCCACCCCGCGCCCAUACAAAUUGAAAAGGUUGCAUUGGUUGUGGGUGUUGCGCCCUCCCUUCUCUCUCUCCCUUAUCUCCCCCCCUCCCUUUCCCUUCUCUCACUUAUCUCUCAUUCCCUAGCUUCUCUGUCACUCGUCUCCUCCCAUUCCCCCCUCCCCCUAGCAGCGCGACAGCUCCUAGCUCAAGCUCAUAUGCGACUGUAAACUCGGCCGAUGUGUGUGCCAUUUCUCUGCUAGUUCCACAGGCAUCACAGGUAAGGACGAACCACUGUUUCUCUGUCGUAGACGAUGGCACGCAUGGCGACGCCGAUAAGGAUUAUUAUCGCCAGCCUUAUCAGGUUGUCAAUAAACAUUUUUAAUACGUGAUGUGUCAGACGACAUACCAGUACAUGCUGCAUACACAAAUAUAUAUAUGUCAGAAAGAUCAGCUGCAUAGUUUCAGACAGUGCCAAAGCUUACAACCGGUUGUGAUUUGGGCGAUGGACCAUCCUAUGCCACCCCCUAUAAUUUUCAAUGUAAGUUAAGAUUCUAUAUCAAUGAUCGGGGAAAGCAAGCACCACCAUUCUGAAACAUGGCCAGCAGAGUGUUCCUCCUCCUCGCCGUCACCGGGGUCCUUUCCAUCCGUCCGGCGGCGGUGGGGAUCAAGCAGGAGUCGUUCAAGGAUGACCCCCGCCGCUCCAUUCUCUUCGACAGGUUCAGCUCCAGCCGCCACGGUUGGGUGUCUAUCUCCGUCACCGGCGCCAAGGCUUCGUCCACGCAUCCCGAGCCAGACCCGUCGCAGCUAGGCUUCUUCCUCCUCUCCGACGAGGCUCUCUUCAAGGCCAUCAGCCUUGAGCCGCCGCUGCCCAUGGAUCUGUACCGCAACCCAGAGUGGUCGUCUCCCAGUUGCGUCCUCUACAGAGCCUACAUCAUAACUCUCUUCACCUUUGCCUACCUCGACGACGAAGGCCACUUCAACUGGACCUUCACCGUCACCCAUGCCAACGAGUACAGCCUCUUCUUGGGCAGCUGCAUGCUGGAGGCCAAAGUCACCAUGGAGGUCCAGACCCACAUCUACAACACCAACCCAAAUCAUUCCGUCGGCACGGCCUCCGUCCGCUCAAGCUCAUAUAAAACGUAUCAUGGACAAAUGCAACGAAAAGCCAGGAGAGCAUAUGCCAGUGGUUCCAAAAGAACAAUUUUUGGAUCAAACAAUAAAACUUGCUAACAUACCUGGUAACAUAAUUUCAGUUGUUACCUUUUGUCAUAUAUACAUACGUAGGUUUUAUAAACGUGCAUGUUGUUCUUUAGUGGGGUGUAAUUUUACCUAGUGGUUUCCUUAUUUUAGACACAUGCUUGAGAUGAAGCAUGUAUAAGUAUGAUGAAAUUCUCCAAAUUUCUCUAUUAUCACAGGUGUUUUCUUGACACAAGGCUUUAUUACUUAUUAGUAGAACAGUUAUUAUUUGUACAUUUAACUGAUGAAAAUAUCUAUCGCAUAUUUAAGAUCACGGCCGGUCCUGAUUCGGGUGGCAGAAAAUCGCAUUGCCACCCACUAAUUUCAUAUGCCAAGAUUGACUAUGAGCGCUAAGUGUUAACUCCAACUCCCUUCAGUCAACAAUACGGGUGCCUGUUAGAAACUAGCUCCCCAAGUGUUAGUACCAAGUGCUUCCUCCGUUUCAAAUUUUAGUUCGGUGUGGCAUUUCUUGAUAUAUAUAGUUUUUGCUAUAUAUGCAUCUAGAUAUAACGUAUAUCUAGAUGCAUAACAAAAAUAUUGAACUUAGAAAAGUUAAAAUAACCUAUAAUUUUGAACGGAAGGAGCAUUGUGAAAAAUAUGUGCGUAGUUAGCUUUAUGUACAUUUAUUAUCGUAUCAACCACAGAUCUGUAUUUAUUAUCGUAUCAACCACAGAUCUGUCGCGUAGCACAAUUGUGGACUCUCAAAAGGCCAUAGACGUUUGACAUCAGCUCAUACUCUGUCAGCCUUUCUAUCUUUCCGUUGCAGCCAUCGUCGUGCUGAUCCUGUUGUCCACCCCGCCACCCCCCCCCCCCCCCCCCCCCCCCGCCCGCAGAUGACGCCUGCGUGUUACUUCAUGAUAAUAUUGCUACUGCAUAAUCACGAUGUCUCUAUCUUAAUAACAAUGAUCAGGAAAAGAAAACAUCUCAUCGUUCAUCCCAGGGGACCAAAUUAUGAUUAUGCAUAUUAAAAUAGCAUUGUUUAGGUCUCUGAUAACACACGCCAUCUCAUAAAGAAAUCCUACAAGGCUCAUCAUGGAGUCCUUCGGUUUUGACCACGUCUAUCCAUAUUGAAGGCAAGUUAAGAAAAAACAUGGGAACUCUUGUCCUCCAGCCGUAUACCUCAUUAUUCUACUUGAAUCCGGGUUACCUUGGCCGCCAAAAAAACCACCAAGGAAUAUAGGUAAACCAUCACACUAAUUGUCCUAGACAGCCAACUGCCAAGUAGAGACAGCCUAGGAGAAAUAAUCUACUUGUCGGCUGACUACCAAGAAUUAUUUCCUUUGCUGUUUGCCUGCCGAGCUAACUAGGCAACGUUACAAAUUUCCAAUGUGUUAAGAAAAUAUUUCAACCGCUAACAAAAAAAAACUAACUCAAGGUAUCCACAUCGAUGUGUGUCACCAUGUAGAACACAUUUACAUGUAUGUAGAUCAAACACAUAGUUAAAAGUUAAGGUUUCAACUAAACACAUCAAACGCAUAGAGAUGAUAUGCAAAUGGAAAAACUAUGAAUCAAGAAAGAAAUGUUAUAAAGUAAUCGGUGACUAAAUUAUAUAAGGACCAGAUUUAGAGAAGUAUUUAUAUCAGAGUAUAGUAUUAGAAUAUGAACAAGAGAGAGCAAAGAUAAGUCAUACUGAUUUAGAGCACUUGCGCAAAUUGUCAACUCCCUUCUGUCAACGGUACGACGGUACUCAUUGGAAAUUAUUAGCACCCAAUGCAAGUAGUCAUUCUAUGUAUCCAAUUAGCUCUAUGAACAUUAAUUUGUUGGCGUAUCAGCCACAGAUGUCUACUUGCACAACUUGUGUAUACUCUGUCUGGUCUGACAUUGGGCAAACUCGAUCGAUCGUUGCCUACAAAUAGCGCAGCAUGUGUUGUCCCAACAAGGCCAUCACUUAGCUGAUACUUCUCCCCUGUUCCUCUAGGUACCCAAGCUACAUCGAGUCCUGUUGAUCAAUGGCUCCUGCUAAUGGCGCCGUGCUUCAGAAGGUGGUUCCUGUCGCCACCUGCAUCGCGCUGGUCCUGUUGUCCAUGGGUUCGCCGGCGAUGGCUGACAUCCAGGACGACUGCCGCGCAACUUGCCGUCCUCUCUGUGAUGGCUUCAGUUCGGACGUGUGCAAUGCCGUCAUUGGCAUCGCCCCUACUAUCCUGAAUAAUCUCAACUUCUUCUUCACGACGUGCAAAGUGAGGGUCUCUGGGCUGUGCACUCCCGUCUGCGUCAACGUAUGCAGCCUCAACACCCUGUCGCCGGGCGCCCCGACACCGGCGCCGGCCAGCACCGCCGCGCCACCACCAUGCAAGCCCUGAUGCUGCCUGCGUGUUAACUUCUUAAAUAUUACUACAUAAUAUCUAUGUAAUAAAAUCUCCUAUAGCUCCGGAUAUGUGUGCCAACUGCCGGCCAGAUGAAGCAUGGCUGUAAUGCGUUGUCAUCGGUGUUCAUGAGCUAAGCCUCGGAAUAUGUAUCUGAUCCGGUGUUUAAUGGGUGUAUAAAUUGCCCCCUCAUACAAAGGUCGAAGGUUCUGUGGCCCUUUGGAGAAAAGGCUGAGGCUUUCAAUUCAUUAGGUGAUAUGGUAUGUUUCACUUUCCCAAAGCAGAGGAGACUUCACUAGAUAAGCAAGAGAGGUUUCACCGAUCAAGCUGGAUGGGCUUCGCUUGUUAGAAGAGUGAAAGGUGUCAAGAAGUCACACGAACGUGUGUGGAGAGGAAGAGAAGAAGAUUCAGUGCAUAUAUAUGUCACCAUGUUGUUGGUAAGUUGGGUUGGAAUACAAAUCUUCUGAAACAAUUUUCUUCCAAACCACGUAUUCAUUUUUAAAACUGUUUGCACUAGUACAUUAUUUAUGGUUAAUUCAACAAAACUAUAUCGCACACAUAUAUAUUUUUUAAAAAAUAAAUGUAGAAAUGAAGCUUUGGAAAGUUUUCUGUUUACUUGAAAUUUUUAUUCUAAAUUUACUUUUUAUUCUCUCCGGAAUAUUUCUUUCUUGAUCACAAUUUUUUCCUUUAAAAAUAUUUGUUCUCAGAAAAGUUUAUAUUCUUGGUGGAACAUUUUUAUUCCUUCCAUGAAAAAAUUGCUUGGAACAUUUUUUAUUAUGAAACAAUUUAUUUAAAUGAAAUAUUUUCUCAGAAUAUUUUUCUUGUGGCCACAUUUUUUUAUGUCUUUAUUCAUGGGCUAAAUAAUAAGCUCAAUUGCAUCGCUUUGUUGGACUUAGUGGGCUGACCUAUUUGUUUAAAAGCACCUACAUCUAGGACUUCCUCUAACUCCCCAGCCAAUGCUAUUUGUCAGUCAUUCAAUCGUUCACUCCAUACUUGGUCACCUUUAGAUUGGUUCUACCAAGAGGAUUCGUAGCCUUUUCUUGUUCUCCAUUCGAGCUUCCUUGAGACCAGACGCACAACACACCAUUAGGGUACAAGCACUAGCGUCCCUCUCCCCUCACUUCUCCAGUUUAGAUGAAUCAUUUUGGGGAUUUUACGCUGCUUAAUUCACCCCCAUCAGAUGGACCUAUAGGGCAGGAUAAUGAUUUGGCGUGUGGUGCAGAAUGGCGUGUUGGGUGGUGAGCUGGGCUCACUCCUAUAGUCCAGGUAGGCUCCGUGCUCCCUGGACGAGGUGCAGCUGCUAGGCACCUAGACCUGAACAAGAGGGAGAGCAUGGAUGGUGGGUUGCUCCACUGCUAUAAAAAUGAUUUGUAGGGAGCUCCUAGUUCUUCUUCAGGAGUGGAUGAAAACUUCAUCCACCUAUACCUGUUUUUAGAUGCACUGCAGCAACCCGCUCACCCUAAAAAAUUAAUUUCCAGCCCCCCCUAAAAAAACUUUCUUUUUCAAAAUAUCAAUGCUAAAAUUUAAGCCACCCCACGCCCAUGUAAAUUGAAAAGGUUGCAUUAGUUGUGGGUGGCACGCCCUCUCUUCUCUCUCUCACUUAUCUCUCCCCUCAUCCCCUUCCCUUCUCUCACUUAUCUCUCAUUCCCUACCUUCUCUGUCACUUUUUUCGAAUCGAAACACAUCGAAAUGGUACCAGCCGUACUUAAUAAUAGAAGGAUUUGUCUCCUCCCCCCCACCCCUAGCAGCGCGCCAGCUCCUAGCUCAAGCUCAGAUGCGACUGUAAACUCUGCCGAUGUGUGUGCCAUUUCUUUACUAGUUCCACAAGCAUCACAGGUAAAGACGAACCACCGUUUCUCUACCGUAGAUGAUGGCACGCAUGGCGACACCGAUAAGGAUUAUUAUUGCCGGCAUUAUCAGGUUGUCACUAAACAUUUUUAAUACGUGAUGUAUCCGACGACAUCAUUGUACAUGCUGCAUACACAAAUAUAUAUAUAUAUAUAUAUAUAUAUAGUAAUACUAUAUGGUGUCCUGGGUAGCCCUCUCCCACCGAGCUGCUCGCACCGCGUUCCGCUGGUUUUUUCUUUCGGUUUUUUUGGCUCGUUUUUUCUUAGUCGAUCCCACGUUUCCGAACUAAUCUAGAUCGUGUCUCCUCGGUCCGUUCAGUUCCUGGCAUUGCCGGUUCCAUAGUCGCCGCCCUCGCUCUGCCAACCGCGGCAGCGAUGUGCCGACCCCGGCCGCGACUCAUCGCUGCCGGCGCAAGGUGCCACUCAUGCCCUUGGCCACCCGAUUCCAGCACCCCAACGCCGCUAGCUUGCAAGUUGUUCUCAGUUCAUCCGCACAUCGUCAUCUUCAAUCCAGCAUUGGAAGGACUCCGUUGCCUGAAGAACAAAGCUGCUGCAGAUUUCGUUGGUCUUCGCCAUCGGUGAGCCCCGCCUCCAUUUGAAUUCUGAGUUCGCUGAUUCCCAGCAAGAGAUGAUCCUGAUUUGAUCUCCUCCGCACCCUCCAAUGGAGUCGCCUUCUUUAUCCGUGGCCAGCCGUCGUAUGUUUCCUGCCUGUGGCUGAGCUCGCGCGCGUCAGCAGAUCACUCCUCCAAGCCUUCCUCCUCCCGCUGUCCGUCUCAAACACCUUGCUGGUCGAGUAUCUGCUCGACAAUCUCCCCGCAGAUGCUCAUCUCGAGAUCAGCAUCUUAUCCAUCGAUCUCACCCACCCAUUCCUCUCCAGGUUCGGCAGUCGGCACCAAGAUUCUGUGGUGGCAUCAAUAGACGCGCAUGUGGAAUUUCAGGUAUAAAAGAGUCUAAGUCCAUCUUGUUCUUUCAUUUUACAAGUUUUAUUUUCAAUCGUGCUGUCAAGCGGCUGGUUUGCUUGAUUUGUUGAUUGAGAGAUGGUUGGCAUGCUUUGGUCAUUAAGUUGUGUUUGACGGAAAGAUACAUUUAUUUGGCGAAUAGCAUGUAUCUCUUUGCCGAUUUAUCAAUGAAUUAAUUACUAACUUGUAUCUUUGAUAUAUAUAGUUGCACUCAGUUUUUUUUUUGUCGUCCUCAGUAAAUUGGAGCCUGAUGCAUCUCAGUCCCACAAUUUGAGCAUGCUAUUAGUCUGACAAUGUAUAAUUGUUCAAAGAUUCAAUGUGCAGAUCAUAUAUGCUGAGAGAUGUGUACUUUAGGAAGCUCAUCUUUGUCACAUUUGCUCGUUCAUAAUCUACUCUUACCUAGAAAGUUCGGAUGCAUAAGUGUUAUAGUUUUGUAUGAUCAUAUUGGCAGAUUUAAAAUGACCAUGUUUUAUUUGCAUUUUCAGUUACAGCUGGACUGCAGGAGCUUGGUCAAGUUGCUGACAUAUGACGUGAAGGUCAUGGCAGCAACCAGUGGUCAGCAUGGUUGCAGCAGGUUAUCGUGAUGGGCGACCCAACCGCACAGGCAUAAUGUAAGCCACCGCAUUGAACUGAACCGUUUUUUCACAUGGUUGCGAACUAUGAGCUCACUACACAAGAUUAAGCUUAUUAUAAUACGCCAUUAGAUUUGCAACUGAUUUGAGAUUGAGUGUUAGAUUUGGAACGGGACCAUAUGUACCCCUAAAAUGUAGAAUUCUCCAUUCAGAUCGAUGCCAGUAUCAUUCAGUGAAAUUUUGCCACUUGGUAAUGCGCAUCCACGCUCCUGUCAUUUUUAGAGACGAUCGAUCAUUUUUCUCUAAUUUUUAAUUUGAGGUGCUAAUCAGAAAAUAUGCUAAUAGAAGCACACAAAGCUUUAUUUUGAACUAGAAGGACUAAUGUUUGCUUUCCAGGAAGGACAGUAUGCAUUUUUUGAUCUGGUGUUCUUGAUGCUCUGUGUUGUGUUUCCGACCAGUUGAAGUGCAAAAUGGACAAUGGAUAAUAUAAAGUAGGAUUGAUUUUUUUACUUACUCCAUUUUCAGCUGUAAGAUUCGUAUGUGGAAAUGCAUGUCUGCUCCAUUUUUAGUUUAGGUUAGCUAGUUUUCACUAUAUGUCACAGUGAUUCAUAAACCUUUCUGAUAUCUGAAACUUUUCUAAUUUCGUUAUGUCAAAAGGACCAGCUUAGAUGUCUUAUAUGCAGUCGUACAUAUAUCUUUCUGCUAAGCAUUAUGCUUUAAAAUAAUCUACUUGUUCAGUAUCACAAGUCUGACUAAUCCUCAAUGGAGUUUUUGAUUAUUUUAUAUGCUUUUCUUUUUCAGAUUUAUUUGGGUGCACAUGUGCUGCUGCAUCUUAGAUGUAAGUACUCGUGCCUGAUGGAGGAUAUGAGUAAUGUCUGACGAACUUCCUGCAGUAACCUGCAAGACCCAAGAAGCUCCUCAAUUCUUUGGCAUUAGUUGGUUGUGGCCAAUUUGUAAUGGAGGUGAUCUGUCUCUGGCCAAAAGAACACUUGGAUAGUUUAACUUGCCAUUGGUCAGCAGCCAGCAAUUGGAGUACAGCUCUGAGGUGGGCAAGAUGCUCUUCGAAGGUUUUGCUGUAUACUAAGAUGUCAUCGAAGAAGACCAGAACACAUUUCCUGAGCAAUGGCUUGAGAGUCGAGUUCAUAGCGCCUUGGAAAGAAGCAGGAGCCCCACAUAAUCCAAAUGACAUCACCAUGAAUUCAAAAUGACCAAAGUGAGUUUGGAAGGCUGUUUUGAAUUCCUCUCCAGAUUUCAUUCGGAUUUGGUGAAAGCUAGAAUUAAGGUCCAGGGAAGAAAACCAACUUGCUCCAGACAGCUCAUCAACAAGUUCAUCAAAAAUAGGAAUGGGAAAUUGACCACGAAUUGUGAGUGUCGACACAUGGUCGCCAGGAACCAUCCUUUUUCUUGACUAGCAACAGUGGGGAAGAAAAGGGGCUAGUAAUGGGUCUAAUAAUUCCCUUGUCGAGCAUCUCUUGAAUUUGCUUUUCAAUUUCAUCUUUAAGGGCUGGUGGAUAGCGGUAUGGCCGAAUAAAAACAGGUUUUGCUCCAGGCACCAGAGGGAUGAAAUGAUCAAAUAGUCUAGGCGGUGGCAAGCCAUCUAUAGGGGCAAAGACUGCAGCAAACUCUGAAAGGAGGGCAGCAAUUUGUGGGGGGAGGUCUUGCCCAUUGGGAUCUGGUUGGUGAGAAGAAUCAAUGGGACAAACUUGAACCAUGAGGGUAUCUGGAUCAGAAGAGAGACCAUGCAGAACUGCUGAAGACCCAUGGUAAGGUAUGGACAUCCAUUUGAGUUUCUAGUGCACUUUCAUUGGGCUGAACUUCUCAAGCCAAUCCAUUCCUAAUAUAAGAUCAUAGUGGUCCAAGGGAAUAAUCUUGAUGUCAGAAACAAAACUGAACUCCUGAAUAAACCAUGUCCCAUUUGGGAUAUGGGCCACACAUUGUAAGACAGCACCAUUAGCAACCUGAACCCGAACAGAGUCAGACAAGGGAACCACCCAUCCAGUUUGUGAGUAAUGUGGUGACUGAGGAAAGUAUGGGAGCUGCCUGAGUCAACUAAAAUUUUCAGAGGUAUAUUCUGGAUUGAUCCUUCCAAUUGCAUGGUGCGAGGGCCCUCGGUACCAGCUGAUGUAUCUUUGGAGAGUGCUAGAAAGAGUUGUUCCUAAAAAUGAUGAUCAGAACCAGCAUAAUUGACACUGUCAGGUCCCUGGGUGACUUUUGAAUGGCGUUGAGCUGUACAGUAGCUGAACACUUGUGGCCAUGGUGCCAUUUUUCGGCACAUUUGUCACACAGUCCUCGAGCCCGCCGAUAAGCUCGAAGGGAAGCAAACUUGUCCAACUAAGACUUGUUGAAAUCUGUAGGAUGAGAGGCUGCAACAGUAUUGGAAGGAGACAUCACAGCCUUGUCAAGACGGGGAGGGGUUGGCAGAGGUAAUGGUCCCCUUGGCGGAGGUCUUGGAGGAAAUCCCGGUUCGAGACGACGCCAAUCCCGUCGUUUGUAAGGAUCCGCCACUUCUUCCUGCAGCAAAGCAAGAGUGCAAGCAGUAUCGAGAGUGGAAGGACGCUGAACUAGAACAGUGGAGCGAAUAUCAUCAUGUAAGCCAUCAAUAAAAUGAGUGAUGUAAUAUAGUUGAUCAAUAAAGUGGCCAUAAGCUAUGAGCUGAUCUAUUAAUUCAGUAAACUUGGCAACAUAUUCAGCAACGGUGCCAGUUUGCUUGAUGUGAAACAAUUGUCGGAUUAGGAGCUCUUGUUGGUCUCGCCCAAAUCUAUCAAUUAACAUAACACUGAAUUCAGUCCAGGGAACUGUUUUAACUGUCUGUCCACUGAUAAAGCCCAACGAGAGGCGGCACUAGAUACCUCAAAUUGCAUGACAGCAACCUUAACCCAAAUUUUAGGAUCGACGCGGUACAUCUCAAAGUAGCCCUCUUAUCUAGAUAGCCACAAAUUAGGAUUGUCAUCCUCAAAAACAGGAGACUGUAGUUUGGGUAAAUUGCGAAGAUGCACACUAUCCUGAUAGAAAUCGUCCUGAUGAUUUCCAUAAGGGCGCGAAUGCGAACGAGGAAAAGUAGGGUUGGGGAUGGGAGACACACCCUUGACCGGGAUUGAGGUAUGGGUGAAUACUGACCCAUACCCGUCAUCCCGGUGUAUUUGAUCGACGCGGUGCCCAUGAGGGCUGUCGGUGGUGAGAUCCGAAGCAGAUGGGCGCUCGGACGCCGACUGAGGCUUGGGAAGAGGCCGGGUUCCGUGGACGCAGAGUCGCGUACGGAACAGUCCCAAUGGCGAGUCAGCUUGCCGAGUUCAAGCUUGACGUCAUCGAUGGCGGCGUCGACCUGGGGGCGCCAUUCUUCGGAAACCUUGGACGCGGCCUCGAGCUUGACGAUGCGGUCACCAUGGAGGCGCUCCGCUUCCAGGAAGCGUUGCUCCCACUUGAGGUCGCUCUCCGCAAAACGCUUGUGGAGUUCGUCGGAGAAGCACUUGUGGAUUUCGUCGAGGAGAAUUUUGGUGUUGGGAUCCAUCGCUCCUGCGCGUUUCUGCAGUCGCGUGAAGUGGUGGUGGGGAGGGAGGGGAUCCAGGAUUGGGACUCUGAUACCAGGAUGUUAGCAGCCGAGUAGUGGGGAGGGAAUCGGCAGCGAGGAAGAAGAAGGAUAGGGAGGAACGACGAAGGUUUAGAUGAGUUUUGUUCUUGUUCUUGCAUACAUGCGCACAUCGGCGCCGCGCUGCUGUUUAUCUUCAGCUGAGCGCAUCACGCACGCAACUCACACGCGAGCACUUACAUGGGCCUUUACCACUCUGAGCCCGAGAUUCGGACAUUAGGGAUGAUGGGCCGUAGGGAACGGCGAGGCCCAGCUUGGACCUUCUCCGCUGGCUUGUCAGUAGCAGACGCAGACGCAGCAUGAUCAGACGUCUUGACACAAGCAUGCCAGCAAGCUAAGAACAGCUCGUCCUUAUCUUUAUCUACAUCCAUCUUGGGUAAUAUGUCGACCUAUCGAGGCUUCGCUACCAGGUCCUAUGCCAUCCUCCUGUGCGGCGUGUGGACUGUGGAGCACCCUCCUGGAGUCCUUCCCAGUACAAUGCUCGUGGGCACUUCAAUUUUGCGAUCUUCAACUGUUGAAUGCUCAAAAUUUCUCAGUGGAGGUUCUUAUAUGUUGAACAUGUCAUGUCACAAUAAUUUCAAUAUAAGCUGGCAAUCACAAAAUCAUUUUAUUCAAAUAGCAAUAGGUUUGUAUUUAAUACCAUGUCUGUCACGAAAUAUUUGUAUUCAAAUUAUAAAGUACUUGUUUUUAAGACCAGUGCCAAGAUGCGUUAGCUAAGAUGUAUUCAAAUUAUACGUGGAAAAAACACAUAGAGUUAUAUUUUAUUUCACUUGGUGUUAGCUAAAGCGAAUUAGCUAAAACAAAUAUGCCCUGCACUUCUUCCAUCUUGGCGAGCUGUCCUCCUGGUCUGCGUCUGGAAACCAGCUCUUGUUGUCUUCGCUAAUUCCGUGGCAUCUACGGUGGCACCGGCUCUAGGCACGUCGAGGAAUAGGAGGAAGCGCCGCUCCUCGUCGGCGUAGAGCUCACUGACGUCCACCGUGGUGGUGCUGCCCUCCUCGUCGACACGGCUCUCGUAGCGGCCGGACUUGACCGCGUGGAGGCGCACGCCUGGGUGAAGGCACUCGACAGAGAUGUGCGCCCUCUACAAGAUGAUGGAGAGGAGUCCACCGUCAUCAAAACUGCUGCUGUGCGGUUCCAAUAGAUGGCGUGCGCGGUGGAUGGCCGGUCGGUCUGCAGGUUUGUCGCCCGUCAAAAAAAAAAGGACGACGGUCUGCGGGGUUCGCUCACGUGGGACGGUGCGGGGAGGGGGACGGGGCUCGGGUACGAAAUAAGCUAUACCACCCCCUAUAAUUUUCAAUGUAAGUUAACAUUCUAUAUCAAUGAUCGAGGAUAGCAAGCACCACCAUUCUGACACAUGGCCAGCAUGGUGUUCCUCCUCCUCCUCAUUGUCGCCGGGGUCCUUUUCAUCGCAGGGCGGCGGCGGGGAUCAAGCGGGAGUCGUUCAAGGAUGAGCCCCGCUGCUCCAUUGUCUUUGACAGGUUCAGCUCCAGCCGCCACUGUUGGGUGUCUAUCUCCGUCAUCGGCGCCAAGGCUUCAUCCACGCACCCCGAGCCAGACCCGUCACAGCUAGGCUUCUUCCUCCUCUCCAACGUGGCUCUCUUCAAGGCCAUCAUCCUUGAGCUGCCGCUGCCCAUGGAUGUCCCACCCUUAAAUUUUUGAAUUUCAGGAUAUGAUUAAAAUAGAUAAUUAAACAAUAAUUUUCUCAUAAUUUUAAAAAUUUUCCCAACAUUUAUUUUUUUUCUUCUUUACAGGAAAUUUAGUAUAGGAAAAAUAAUUGUUUGCUUUUCUAAAUUAAAUAAUGUUGUUCUAUGUGUUGUGCAUUCAUGCCAAUGCAUCUUGGUGUUUCUUGAGUGCAAAAGUUUUAAAAUUACGUUUAGACGAUGUCUAGACCCUUCUGAGAAUUUUUCAGCUUUUACUGGAAUUUAUUCUCCUUUUUUCUAGAGCUAACUCCAAUUUUUGGAUGGUUCUAGAAUUCUUUUCACGAGCUUCAAAUAUUUUAUUUGGGUUUCUCAUAUCCCAAUCUACCUGCAGGAUUUUUCCUGGAAUUUUUGGGAUUUUCAAAGUAUUUUUUUGACUUAAUUGAUUUAUCUAGAUUUUAUCUAGAUUUAUUUGUACACAGGAAAAUAUUUCUGGAGAAAAGAAGAAAUCCUAACCCUAUGGGCCGAGCCCUUGAGGCCCGACCCUCUCCGGCCUGCCCAGCCGGCCUGCUUCAGGCCCAGCCGAGGCCCAUCUGGCCGUCGCGCGUAGGUGUUAUAAACAUGCAUGUUGUUCUUUAGUGGGGUGUAAUUUUACCUAGUUGUUUCCUUAUUUUAGAUACAUGCUUGAGAUGAAGCAUGUAUAAAGUAUGAUGAAAUUCUUCAAAUUUCUCUAUUAUCACAGGUGUUUUCUUCACACAAGGCUUUAUUACUUAUUAGUAGAACAUUUAUUAUUUGUAUAUUUAACUGAUGAAAAUAUCUAUCGCAUAUUUAAGAUCACGGCCGGUCCUGAUUCGGGUGGCAGAAAAUCCCAUUGCCGCCCCCUAAUUUCAUAUGCCAAGAUUGACUAUGGGCGCUAAGUGUUAACUCCGACUCCAUUAAGUCAACAAUACAGGAGCCUGUCAGAAACUAGCUCCCCAAGUGUUAGUACCAAGUGCUUCAAAUUUUAGUUCAGUAUGGCAUUUCUAGAUAUAUAGUUUUUUUAUAAAUGCAUCUAGAUAUAACGUAUAUUUAGAUAUAACGUAUAUCUAGAUGCAUAAUAAAAAUCGUGAACAUAGAAAAGUUAAAAUAACCUACAAUUUGGAAUGGGAGGAGUAUUGUGAAAAAUAUGUGGUAGUUAGCUUUAUGUACAUUUAUUAUCGUAUCAACCACAGAUCUGUUGCGUAGCACAAUUGUGGACGACGUUUGACAUCAGCUCAUACUCGGCAGCCUCUCUCUUAAUGUUGCUGCCAUCGUCGUGCUGAUCCUGUUGUCCAUGGGGCCCCCCGGCACCACCUUAGACGCAAGAUUGAUGAUUCAUGCGUGUUACUUCAUAAUAAUAUUGCUACUGCAUAAUCAUGAUGUCUCCACGUAAGAAGUGGUAGAAUUAUGUGCUCCUAAAAGAUUUUUUUUCUAACUUGGAGGGGGCCAUGGCCGACUUUGUCUAGUACUGAGCUCCGCCCCUGAUCAACUGCUUGCAGAUGUAUCUAUCUUAAGAAAUUAUAACAAUGAUCAAGAAAAGAAAACAUCUCACCGUUUAUCCCAGGGGACCGAAUUAUGAUUAUGCAAAUUAAAAUAGCAUGAUUUAGGUCUAUGAUAACACACGGCAUGACAUCAAGAAAUCCUACAAAGCUCAUCAUGGAGUUCUUGGGUUUUGCCCACGUCUAUCCAUAUUGAAGGCAAAUUAAGAAAAACCAUGGGAACUCACAUGGUAGCUCUUGUCCUCCAGCCGUAUGCCUCAUUAUUCUACUUGAAUCCGGGUUACCUUGGCGGCUUUGGCCGCGCCAAGGAAUAUAGGUAAACCAUCACACUAAUUGUCCUAGACAGCCAACUGCCAAGUAUAGACAGCCUAGGAGAAACAAUCUACUUUGGCUGACUACCAAGAAUUAUUUCCUUUGCUGUUUGGCUGCCGAGCUAACUAGGCAACGUUACAAAUUUCCAAUGUUUUAAGAAAAUAUUUCAACCGCUAACAAAAAAAACUAACGCAAGGUAUCCACGUCGAUGUGUGUCACCAUGCAGAACACAUUUACAUGUAUGUAGAUCAAACACAUAGUUAAAGUUAAGGUUUCAACUAAACACGCAUCAAACACGCAAGUGGAAAAACUAUGUAUCAGGAAAGAAAUGUAUAUAAAGUAAUCAGUGACUAAAUUAUAUAAGGACAAGAUUUAGAGAAGUAUUUAUAUAAGAGUAUAGUAUUAGAAUAUGAACAAGAGAGAGCAAAGAUAAGUCAUACUGAUUUAGAGCACUUGCGCAAAUUGCCAACUCCCUUUUGUCAACGGUACGACGGUACUCAUUGGAAAUUAUUAGCACCCAAUGCAAGUAGUCAUUCUAUGUAUCCAAUUAGCUCUAUGCACAUUAAUUUGUUGGCGUAUCAGCCACAGAUGUCUACUUGCACCAUCUUGUGCAUACUCUGGUCUGACAUUGGACAAACUCGAUCGAUCGUUGGCUACAAAUAGCGCAGCAUGUGUUAUCCCAACAAGGCCAUCACGUACUUAGCUGAUACUUCUCCCCUCUUCCUCUAGGUACCCACGCUACAUCGAGUCCUGUUGAACAAUGGCUUCUGCUAAUGGCGCCGUGCUUCAGAAGGUGGUUCCUGUCGCCACCUGCAUCGCGCUGGUCCUGUUGUCCAUGGGUUCGCCGGCGAUGGCUGACAUCCAGGACGACUGCCGCCCAACUUGUGUUCCAAUCUGCCAAGGCUUAGCUACGAAUGUGUGCAAUGCCGUCAUCGAUCUCAUCCAUAUCCAGCUUCCUGUGGAUAUCUUCCCGACGUGCAAAGUGCGGGUCUCUGCAAUUUGUGAUCCCGUCUGUAUCAACGUAUGCAGCCUCAACACCCUGUCGCCUGGCGCCCCGACACCGGCGCCGGCCAGCACCGCCGCGCCACCACCAUGCAAGCCAUGAUGCUGCCUGCGUGUUACUUCUUAAAUAUUACUACUACAUAAUAUCUAUGUAAUAAAGUGUCCUAUAGCUCCGGGUAUGUGUGCCAACUGCCGGCCAGAUGAAGCGUGCCAGUAAUGCGUUGUCAUCAUGAGCUAAGCCUCAGAAUAUGUAUCUGAUCCGGUGUUUAAUGGGAGUAUAAAUUGCCCCCUUAUUGUUGUGGUUGUUUUCUAGUUACUCAUCUGUGUGUGCUGUACUCUAUACUCCCUGUUGGGGAACCGAUCUCCGUCUAACCCCAUCCCUGCCAAAGUGUUAAGUUCUUUGUCUUUCAGUGUCUAGAGUCUAAGACCUUGUACAAAGAUCGAAGGUGCUGUGGCCAGGGGUAGUAAUGGAUCAUGGCCUUCAUGCCUCCUUCACAAUUCAACUUAGCCCUAUUUAUUUUUAGUUCAAAAUCAUAUAAUAUUAUGACCCGAUUCUUAUUGAGCUCGAUCCUUAAAUUUGUUAGACUAAAUUAGAAGGCCGUUUAUCACACCUAACUGUGGCCCUUUGGAGAAAAGAUAGAGGCUUUCAAUUCAUCAGGUGAUAUGGUAGGUUUAUUUCAUUCUCCCAAAGCAGAGGAGACUUCACUAGAUAAGUAAGAGAGGUUUCGCCGAUCAAGCCGGAUGGGCUUCGCUUGUCCGAAGAGUGAAAGGUGUCAAGAAGUUACAUGAACGUGUGUGGAGAGGGAGAGAAGAAGCUUCGUGUCGGGGAUGGAUCCCCAGUACCGGUAAGGAAGGAAGAAGCUAGACUCCUACUAGGAUUCUCUUGUAAUCAUACUAGGACUCAUACCGUGUCAUCCUAAUAGAACUCCUGCAUUGUAACCGGCUCGUAAUCCCAGCCCCUAGAGUAUACCUAGAUCGGCAGACCAUACAACAAACCAAACAACACCCAUGUGCAGGGUGUAAUAUACAACACCCCAAAUAGGUUGAAGGUAUUAUGCUACUCUAGCGGUCUGAACCUAUAUAAAUAUAUAUGUGUCUUGUGUCCUCGCUUUUACCAUCAAGCUCCAGGUCUAAAGAUCCCUCACCAACCAAUCUACUAAUUUAGGAUACCUCUCAGUAGGUUACCGGGUUUAAAAUACCGAUACUUCGCUAUUGAAUGGCGGCGAUGCAAGGGGAGGCCAUUACAUCAUCAUCAUCAAGGUGUUCUAAGGAUCACGGUGCUCCCGAAUAACUCUAUAGAAUGUGGUCGUUGAAGGUUUACUUGUCGUAAAGUGUAAAGUUGAUGGUCCGGUAAAUAGGGAUGCCAUGGUGAUCCUUAAUUGAAGAGGCAAUAUGGGUUGCUAUCUUUUCCUAGUUGGCUUAAAAAAUGUCAACACUCACGGCCUUCUACCCAUAGAUAUAUGGACUUUGAGUAUUAUAGAAUAAAAUUAAGCCGGGGGAAGACUUUCAUAUGCCCCUCACUCAAGCAACAUCCAGCCAGCUCUUUAUUGAAUAUUGUGUGGUUCUUAUAUUUCGGGACAAAAUUCAGAAGCCAUAAACCCUUAUAUUCAUGAACGGAGAAAAUAUAUAAAAUUAAGAGAAGGAGGGGGGCGGGGGGGGGGGGGGGGGGGACUUUCAUAUGCCCCUCAUUGAAGCAACAUCCAGGCAGCUCUUUAUUGGAUAUCGGGUGUUCUUAUACUUAGGGACAAAAUUCAGAAGCCAUAAACCUUAUAUUCAUGGACGGAGAAAAUAUAUAAUUAUAUUUCAAAAGUUACCUACCAUAUAUUAUUUAUAUCAUAAUAUAUUUAAAUAGAUUCUUCCUUACACUUCUAGACUCAUGUCAUCUACUCUUGUUCUCCAUCUUACCCCCACACCUCCUUUCGUAGCCUCUCUGGUAACUCGGAUAUUGGAUCGGGAAAGGGCUUCUAGCCUAGUGGUUAGAGCACCUGAGUAGCACCUAGUAGUCUCAGAUUCGACACCCCGUUGGAGUGUACUAGACAGGUUUGGAAUAAAAAAAAUUAUAAAAUAAUAGGUAGGAGCUUUCCCCUGCUGAUUCAGAUGGGUUGAGUUCUUUGUCUUUCAAUGUCAAGAGUGUAAAACCUUAGUGGCCAACAUUCAGAUGGGCAAAGAUCGAAGGUGCUGUGGCCCUUUCGUGAAAAGGCAGAGGCUCUCAAUUCAUCAGGUCAUGUGGUAGGUUUCACUCUCGCAAAACAGGAGACUUCACUAGAUAAGCAAGAGAGGUUUCGCUGAUCAAGCCGGACGGGCUUCCCUAGUCGGAAGAGUGAAAGGUGUCAAAAGUAAAAUCUUCUAAGCACGACUAUUUGGGGGAUAUACAAAUCGAUCUCAACAGCACUAACCUUGACUGGCAUAGCCAUUAUUCGCUGUUUGUAGAAAGAAUGCAUGUGCGACUCACACUGAUUGCUGCGUCAGCCACGCUUGAAACGAUGCUACUUGCGCAACGCUGUUCGUUAGCUAGCUGUAUUAUACUUGCUGGGCGCUACUUGCACAACUGUAUUAUACUCUGAAGUAACGUUACAUCGGAGAACCCUUCCCCGAUGUAAUGUUACGUUCAUUUUCAUGGAGUUGAAUCGCAAGGGCUGCUCUAACCUCGUUGUGUUCAAGCCUCCAAGAAACUUGUUUCCCAACAUCAGCACUGUUUCCCUAUAUUACACUUGUAUUUUCUGCACAUCAUAUGGAUAUGAACUAGCCGUGAGCUAUUAUUUUAGUUCGAAAACCAAAAAGAUCGAUAUGUUGCAUUGAUUCAGAUUGAAUUUUACGCCAGGCUUAGAGGGUGAUCCUGAUUGAAUUAUUUAUCGUAAUUUUUAUAUGGGGUUGCUGAAUCAGGCGAGCCCAUUAAGGGCCCGUUCGGUUUGGCCGGAAUGGCCUGGAUUGCAGCCCAAUCCGGACGGAUUGGAACGGCCCGGAAUGAAUACGCCCAAUACAAAAAUUGUUGUUCGGUUGGCCUGGCCCGGACCAAACCUGGCCCGGAACGAUUUCAAUCCUACCCUCCUUGGCCCGGAAUCAAUCCGCACCUCAUCCCUGUUGGAUCGCUUCCUGGCCACACGCGACGCGAGGAGAGGAACGCUUCGCUGGCGGCACGAGGUGGCGGCGUGGCGGCGCGAGGUGACGGCAUGGCGGCGUAGCACAUCUUCGACGGCCACCACCGCGACAAUGACUGCCGCCUUCUCGCCGGUGAGCCGUCACCUUCUCUUCUCUCCUACUCGCCGGCUCCGUCGUGCUGUCGUGCGCGCCUGUAGUUGGCUGCCAUGGCCUGAUUGCAUUUCUUGAUCUCGCGUGAGAGGCAUGAGAGGCACUCAAAGGCGAAUCACCAGCUUUCCCUUGGCUGGUUGGUUGCCUCCGCGGCGGUUGCAACCGAUUGGGGUGGAGCGACACCGUGAUGGUAGUUCCUUUUCCUCUACUUAACUCCAUUGUUGGUGGAUUCGUGCGUGGACUGUAGUUGGCGGAGGAGCCAGAGAGCCGAGAUGCAGAUCUGGUGUUCGUUGAAAUGUCUCAGUGGACUAUAGUGGCCUGAUUUGUUGUCUUGUGUCUUCUUUUCCUAAGUCAGAACCUGAUGAACUAGUCGAUUCCAUCACAAAGGGGAUCUCCAUUGUACUGGGGAUAAACGGUUCAGCUCCUUUCAGACCUGGUUCAGACCAAUGCUGGUAGAUUUCGGUUGGCUCCGGAGGUACCCGAAGGGCCUCAAUGUGAUUUCAGCGGGCAAGGCCGGGAGUGCCCGAACCUGAUGAGGGCCUUCCAGGUCUGGUGGCGGCGGUCAUUUGUAAGAUCCUCACGGCUAAAUAGAAAACGAAUCCGUCUCGGAGUCGUACUAGCUGAGUCGUGGAUCGUCACAGCUAGUCAAGUCCAACCAAGUCCUCCACCUCCGGUUUUUGAAUUCCAUGCAGCGGCACAACCUGUACCGUUGCAAGGGAGCAGCAGCAGCAGCAGAAUGAAUCCACUGUGCUGUAGUCCAUCUAGUAUUUGUAUCUUGGAGUCCAACCUGUACCGGCUGGUGUGGUCGAUUCAGGUGAAUUCAGUGUUUCAGCUUGGCUCUGUUCUACCUUCCAUGGAGUCAUCAUGUUCCAGUAGUAUUUGAGUUCCAAUGUAUUAAUUUGUCCAUGGCGUGCACGCAUCCAUUUCCAUUACGUGUUCCUGCUUAAUUAUUCGCAAGUUGUGGAUCCAAGUAGCAGUGCUAUUCUCAUCCUUAGAAUCAAUUUCCUCGUAAUAUCUCGAUCUCUAGAUGGUCCUGGUCUGGUGGCGGCGGUCAUUUGUAAGAUCCUUAGGUAGCAGUAGCUGAGUGGGUUUCAGUUCUGCAAUUCAUCAUCUGAAUGUGUGCAUGCGUAUGUGCUUUACCUGGUGCCUGAUUUCUGAUUUACCUGGUGCUGCUGCUACAGCCUGCAAGAGCUGCAGCAAUGGCCUGGCGUGCUCUCUGCUUGAUGUGGCCAAGAAAAGAAGGCAAUGAGUAGCAGCGUUAACUAACUAGUCGUAAUAAGUUCUGAUAUAACCUGUUUCUGUUAAGGUAUCUUUGUUCUGACUAGGCGCAUGUGGCAUAUAUCAGGUCGCAACGAGUCAGUAUAGGAUUGUGAAAUCAUGGUUGGACAUAUAGACAUGAACUUUAGAUGUUCAGUUAUGGCACGAGGUCAUACAUGUAGUUAGACAGCCUAAGAUGUGGUUUACAUCAGUAAAUAUAAAAUUAAGUUUUUGAGAGUAAUACACUAGUGAGAAAUAUAAUUAGUUCCUGCCUACUUACUUUCAUCCCCAGCAUGAUCUUUCCUGUAACAACCAAUCAUGGAAUCAUUGCUAUACGCUUGCUGUGUCGCGCCCAUCACCCUCCCUCGGCAGUUCUACUUGCUGCCUCGCAUGUCUAUACGAAAGCAAAGUAAGCUUUAGGUUCUUGAAUAACUGUCAUAUUGACAGUAGCAGCUGUACUUGUAUAACUCUUGAAUUGAAUUGAAUGACUAGCUCUUCAUUUCUCGGAAAGGCUACUCUUAAAAUACUAGUUCCUAUUUAUUGAUAUUACUUGUUCUGACUUUUUCAGCUACUCUUAAAAUACUAGUUCCUAUUUAUUGAUAUUACUUGUUCUGAUUUUUUCUUGUUACUUGUAGAUCCCACCAGCACCAUUAAGAGUUGGGGAAGGUGAACCACCCCCUUCUUCUUGGGAUCCGGUACCAACUCCAAUAGGUACACAAUUCUAUCUAUGUUUAAGUCUAUUCCAAUGAGUAAUUUUUUCUAUUGCAAUGAGUAAAAUUGCCAUGACAACCUGUUUAGCCUUCCAUUUUAUCUAUUUAGCUUCUAUCUGACUAUAAAUUUAUAUGCUUUAGUUCUGCAAUGAAUAUCUCAUUGAGAGAUCGUAUUAGAAAGAGGAGGGAGGAAGAAGAUGAUGACAUGAUGAUGUUUCUAUUCCCUGCCUUAUAUCUGAUGGGUUCUGCUAGAGAAGGAGUAAAGAAGAAACGUCAUACAUCAGAAGAAACAGGAGAGGUUAAGGUUCGUCGACUCCUUGAGGGACAUAUCAAGAACUGUCAAGUUACAUUUAGGAUGGAACCCCACAUCUUCAAAGAGUUGGCGACUUAUCUUAGAAGGAAAGGACUCGUUGUUGAUACAAGGAUUACGGUGGAGGAGAAGUUAGGUUUCUUCCUAUACACGUUAAGUCGCAACGCCUCAUAUGAGGAUCUUGCAGUGACCUUUGGGCACAGCAACGACACCUUCCAUCAUCACAUCAACCACUUCUUCACAUCAACCUCAUAUGAUGAUUGAAUUAUUUAUCCUAAUUUUUAUAUGGGGUUGCUGAAUCAGGCGAGCCCAUUAAUUAGUAACACAUCUUGUCGGCGGGUCAACCGUGUUAACGUGCAUGCUACUUGCACAACUGUAUUAUACUCUGACGUUUUCUGCCUACAAAUAGCGCAUCUGCAUUGCUAUCCCAACAUGCACUUCUUCUCCUCUCCAUCUCUUCCUAUAGCUAUAGCUGCAACAACUAGUCCUGAUCACCAUGGCUGCCGCGAUGCUCAAGAUGGCCAUUGUUGCCGCCUGCAUCGCGCUGGUCCUGCUCUCCAUGGGUCCGCCGGGGGCGAUGGCUGACAUCCAGGACGACUGCCGCGCGACUUGCCGUGGUCUCUGCGAUGGCUUCGGUACGAACACGUGCAAUUCCGUCAUUGGCAUCGCCCCUGCUGUCCUGAACAAUGUCAACUUCUUCUUCACGACGUGCAAAGUGAGGGUCUCUGGGCUGUGCACGCCCCUCUGCGUCAAUACCUGCAGCCUCAACACCGUGACGCCGGCCAGCCCGCCGCCACCACCAUGCAAGCCAUAAUUGGUCCAUGCGUAUUACUGCAGCAUGAAUGUCUCAAGUAAUUCAAGUCCCGGCCGUAGAUCCGGGCAUUUGCGUUCCAUUUUAAUUUCCCUUUAAUUGUGGUGUCACCAAGUACUAGUCAUCAUUGUGCACACCUCUAUAUGUAAUUUUAUUUGAAAAGAUUAUUACCUAUCUUGAGAAAUUUACUGCUAUUAUUUAUUUUUACCACGAUAUAUUUACCUGCAUUGUACCUUCCACCACAAUACUGUGGGUUAAUUUUUCAAUUUCUCUAUCUUCUAUCUCUUCCCAAAAGUUUGAUCUGAUGUGCAACCCUAUUUCUCCUAAUUUUCAUAUACAGGGACUGGAUGACAAGUUCAUUAUAAACUCCCUCAGUCAAUGGUGCUCAUUAGAAAAUGUUAUACAUGCUGGUAUGCUGGUGUGUAUGCAUGUAAUAUCGCAUUAACUACUACAAUCGAAUGAAAUGCAUGCUCAUCUUACUGUAAUGCAUUCAAACGACUCUAAGGGUUUGUUUGUUUCCCUCCUAGAUUAUAUAAGCCGGAUUAUGAUUCAAGGGUAGGAGGAUAAAAGAUCAUUAUGGGAUCACUAGGGGACAAUAUAUAAUCUGAAAUAAGCUAGCCUUUGGUAGCUUAUUUCAGAUUAUACGUGGUCCCAAAGUGAUAUUUUACUAUAGUACCCAAGACCCAUAAUCCAACUUAUAUAAUUUAGGUGGAUUAUAAUCCCAAACAAACAGGACCUUAUUCGUGUGUAAUUUAUCUUAUACCUUCUAAUGCGCUUGAGUUAUAGAAAGCAUGUGCGACUCAUCACACUGCUUGCUGCGUCAGCCACGCUUGCGAACGUGCGUGCUACUUGCACCACGCUGCUCGUUAGCUAGCAGUUUGUAGCACUAAGGCCAUGUUACCAUUUUCUAUCAACGAAUCAGCAGCACGCAUACACGUACGUGAUGGAACAAUUGUGUACAGCGGAUGCCUAUAUCUUGCUAGCUAGACUAAUAGGAGAGAGUACUUUUGGAAUGUCGAUGCUAAUCAUAGCGAUCAAAAUGCGCUAAAAAAAAUUGAUAAAUCCUUCUUUUUUUGUUAUCUACCAUUAUAUAUGAUUCCUUAUGGUAUUUGGCUGCAUGGAUGGAAUGAACUUGGGAAUAUUGAUAGGAUUAACAGGAACACUAGGUGCUAAUCUAGCAGGUAAAACACUUAGAUUAAAACAACAUUGGACCAUAGAUCUACAACAGGGGCUUCCUAUUGGGGAGAGUGAGAGGAUGACCGACUGUUGGGCUUCAUCGGCAAGGAGGACACCAUGGCAGUGUUGGUGAUGGCGACGUUAACACAGAGGCGGAGGCGGCGCGGUUAGGUGUUGGCGGUGCUUCCCGCCGCUGAUAGUGCCUCCACUAGAUUGGCUAGGGUUUGUUGGUGGGUCUUGUGGGUAUGGUGAACCUUGGAUUGCGUUCCCCCAGCCCGCACCUUUCCUUUUAUUUGGCACUGCAUGACAGAGGCCCACCAACCAUGAGUUGGUUGUGCGCCCCCAAUCAGGGCGCGAGAUAAGGCUCGGACUCAUAUGUUGGGAGAUCAAACUAACAUUCUCCCUCUUGAUCUCACCUUUCAUUUAGACUUAGACUUAAACUUAACUUGGCAGCCAUUUCAUCACAGAUCAGUGUGUAGAUCAUGUCUCAUCAUAAUAGCUAGUUACGUACUAUCAAAUUCAACAGCUACAACACACCUUUCUGUUUUGAAACAGAUUCUUGUUCUAGGCCCUUAGUAUCCAGGUAUCAUAGGCUUUUGUCACACCCGGUUUUAAAACAAAACCAAGUGCUACCUAUAUGUAUGCUAGGAUCAAGUUUCAUACAUAUAGUGACAUCAUCAGUGAAUAACAGCAACAAUAUCACAUAAAAGAUACAAGUAAGACUUACGACAUUAUCAGAGAUACACAGCUUAAACACGGAAUCGGAGGUUCCAAACUUCACAGGCAAACGACUGGGGGUUGCAUACGCCUAGAACUCAGCAUCAUCUUCACAACUUCACACACCUUCUUCUUCUGAGCAGCGAUAAGCAAGGGUGAGUACACUUAUGGUUGGUACUCAGCAAGGCCACAAGAAAUAACCAGAAUAGUGAUUUAACUCCAUCUUCAAGUAUAUUAAUCAUGUGAGGGUCUAGGCCGCUCUUGACCGUGAGCACGGCUGUUAUAACAGUUUUACACUCUGCAGAGGUUGUACAUCUUUACCCACAAGUCGCGUAAAAGUUCAGAAGAACUUUAGACCCAACCAUGCUGUGUAAAAGUAGGCACAAUACCAUACUUCCGAGGUGUGGUUGCAUAGGGACGCUACGAGGCCUUUACAAAGAUUCACUAGUAAGUGGUAACCCGCUAAGAUUUCAGGUCGAAGCAGAGCAUAACAGUCCCCUAGUGAGUUCAGUAUCUUAGCAAAGCCCACGUCCCAAGAGAGCGAGUGCUAUACCCCAUCAACGCCUCCCCUCUUGCCCUUUCGGUAAGAUUACCCCAGACUAGGGUUUCUAAUUAUUCAGCCAAGACCAGAGCCAUUUAGUCUUGUGGUAGCACUGUUUUCCUGGGUGGUCGCUCCAUGUUCCAAUUAAUGCAAGAUAUUCUUGUAAAUAAGCAUAGAUAGAAGGAUGGUUAGGGACACUUGCCUUUCUCCAACGAAAAGUUACUCUCACUGCUCUUCGGCUCCUGCUCUCUUGAAACUCUUAACCUUCAAAUCUUCCGUGCAGCGAUCCUUCUACUCGAAGCAAUCACCGGCACAAACAUACAAGCAAACAAACAAGUACAACUAAGAACAAUACACCAAACAAAAGAAAGCUUUAAAAGAGCGUACUAAAGAAUAGGGUGCAAUUCUAGGAUUACGUGAACGUAGGAAACACUGAAACGGAUCUAUGGUUGAAAAGAUAGAGCUAUCGAGUGAUUUGAAUUAUAAAAGAAAAGACAAGAGCUACAAGCUUCAUUUAUUUUAGUUGAGAAAAAUAAUAUAAAGAUAUUUCAGAGAAAUAUCCUUAGUUAGAAUUAAUCAAGUCAUAUUUAUAUUUUCAUAAGAAAAGACGGUGUAAAUCUUAGUCCAAUUUUAUUUAUAAAUAUUUAUGUACAAGUUAUACAAAUUAAACAUUUAAUUUGAAAAUAAAGUAUAUGAACAUCUAAGCGCAUAACUUUAUGAUUUGGAUUGAACUAACCAAAUUAUAAUUUAAAAACAUAUUUAUAUCCAUAUUAGCCAAAUUAACAUUUAAUUAUGAAAAAUCGAGAUAUAACCUAUGCAACUUUUAUUUAGAAAAUGAAUUGGAUAAAUAUUAAUCAAAUUGAGUUUAAUUUAUGAAAAACCGAGGUAUAACUCUAAUUGACUUUUAAUUAGAAAAUGAUAUGAAGUAGGCAUUAGUCAAAUUGAUGUUUAUUAUGAAAACGGUGUAGAUCACUAAACAGAUUUUAUUUAGAGAAGAACGCGUUUAUUAGGCAUUAAUCAAUUUUAAUAUAAAAUUUAUUUUUAAAAAUAUGCGUGAAAACAUUACCACUAACAUGUAAUUUACGUUAUUAUGAACCUAACGCAACUUGAACGAAUAAAAACGGAGUUAAAACGUGGAUUCUACGAGGUACAGAAGGUUGCAGGGCCCUAGUCAUAAUUAACUAUAUACGUCAGGGGCUAGCAAGGAAGAUUGGCAAGACACAUGUAAUAGCGCUUGAGAUUUGGACAAAGCUCAGGGUUAGAUCUAGAAAAGUGUGAGUCCCGGCUUAGAUUGAAAGAAACCCGAAAGAUUGAGGGUUUUUCUGCAAAGUUGCAAAGACACAAGGAAAAGAUUACUAAUUACAGAUUCUUUCGGAGAUCCAUUUGCAAAAUGGCUUAUCUCCUUCCUUGCGGACGGGGCAUCUUUGGCCAGACAACUACCGGCAGCGACGGCCGAGGAAACGCAGGCGAGCGUGGCCGGCCCGAUGCUAGCUUCUGGCGCGUGCGGAACGGCCAAGGCAGGAGCACCGCACGGCAACGGGGCCGGCAGGCGGCGGUGCGGCCGGCUUCCAGGCAAGGACGGCGGCGGCGCACGGUACUGCGUCCCGGGGUGCCUCGGCAGCGGCGCAAACGGCGCGCAGCAGGGCGUCUCGGCGGCGCGGGUGGUAACGGCGGCGGCGGGCAGGAGCAGGCGGCGCGUGCGGCUCGGGAGGCGAGGCGAGGCCCUAGGCGGCGGCGGCUCUCAGGGGCACGGCCAGGCCAUGGCCGGGUGGAUGAACAGGAACGGACCGAAUACAGGGGAAAAAAAAGAUUCUGCCGAUAACGUCCCCUAGUCUUGCGAUUGAACGGCAAAGUCUUGCGAUUGAACGGCAAAACGGAACAGGGGCGACGAGAUGAACGCGUUGAUGUGCUCACCUUCGACCGGGGAUGAACGAUGGUGGCGGAAAAGCUUGCCGGAGUUCGAGAAAAGCUCGUCGGAGUUGAGGAAGACGACGGAGCCGACACCGGACUCGCGCAAUCCACCACAUCACGGUGUAGAGCUUGAAGAGAGGAACUCCGUGGUGGUGUCGAUGGAGCUCGGAGAGUCAACUCGCGAAAAUGUCUUUAGAUAAUCCUCACGUCGAAUGAACGCGGUGAUAUGUAUAUAGGCUGGGUUUGGGAAAAGAUAUUUUCGGGAUGACUUUUAUUUUUGGAAUUUCUGAUUUUAUUUAUCUGCGUGAAAACAAUUCUGGAAAUAGCCGGACUCGUUUUCUAAAGCAAGAAAAAUAUCUAGAAACUUCGAAAAAUCCCAAGAUAAAUCUCAGAGUUGAAAUAGAACACAAGGAAUCCAAAUAAAAUACUUGGAGCUCGUGAAAAGGAAUCUAGAGCCUUCCAAAAAUUAGAUUUAGCUCUAGGUAAAUGAGAAAAAAUUCCCGAAAAAGAUGGAAAAUUCUCAGAAGGGCCUGGACAACGUCUAAACGCAUUUUUGAAACUUUUACACUUAUGUAACACCAAGAUGCAUCAGUCAUAAAUGCACAGACACCGAACAACAUUAUUUAAUUUAGAAAAUCAAAUAAUUAUUUUUUCCCUAUACUAAAUUUCUUGCAAAGAAAAAGAAAAAUUGGGAAAAUUUUAAAAUUGAGAAAAUUAUUGUUUAUUUAUUCUUUUUAUUCACAUCCUAAAAUUUGAAAAUUUUAGAGUGUGACAGCUUUCCCGUAAACCCAUGCCGACUAAGUGUUCUCUGAGCAUAUUGGGCGGUAAGCCUUUUGUAAGCGGAUCCGCGAGCAUUUCUUUGUUCUUAUAUGCUCUAAACUUAUGGUAUGAUCCUGGAUUCUAUCUUUCACAACAUAAAACUUAAUGUCAAUGUGUUUGGCAGGACCACUUGACUUAUUGUUGUGAUCAUAGAAUAUUGUUGGCUCAUUAUCAUAGUACAUCUUGAGUGGUAUUUGAAUGUUGUCUACCACUCUCAACCCGGGUACAAACUUCUUUAACCAGUUUGCCUGCCCCGUGGCCUCAUAGCAUGCUACAAACUCGGCAAACAUCGUGGAUAAUGCUGUGACGGUUUGCUUGGAGCUUAUCCACGAUAUAGCUCCACCUGCGAGAGUGAAUACAUAACCUGACGUUGAUUUUCUAUCGUCUACAUCUUCCGCAAAGUCUGAAUCUGAGUACCCUUCGGAAUCAAUUCUUCUAUACGUUAGCAUGAGGUCUUUCGUGCCUUGUGUAUAAUGCAAUUCCUUCUUUACCAUUUUCUAGUGAUCUAUUCCUGGAUUAUCUUGAUAUCUGCCAAGUACCCCGUAACAAAAGCUAAGUCAGGGUGCGUACACACUUGAGCAUACAUUAAGCUUCCGACAGCUGAAGCAUAUGGAACCACUUUCAUUUGAUCGAUCUCAUAUUGGUUCCUGGGACUUUGAAAAUUUCCAAAUCUAUCGCCCUUGACUAUGGGAGUAGGUGUAGGUCUACUCGCAUGCAUGCUAUACUUCUUCAGAAUCUUCUCUAAGUAAGCCUUUUGCUAUAAUCCCAAUACCCCCUUUUUUCUAUCUCGGUGAAUUUCAAUUCCUAAAACAAAUGAAGCUUCACCAAGAUCUUUCAUAUCAAAGUUUGAGGACAAGAAUUUCUUUGUCUCCAGUAGUAGACUAACAUCACUACUAGCAAAUAGAAUGUCAUCUAUAUACAGGAUAAGGAAAACGAAUUUCCCACUCUUAAACUUUGCAUACACGCAAUUGUCCUCCUUAUUCUCACUAAAUCCAAACUUUCUUAUUGUCCCAUGAAACUUCAGGUACCACUACCUGGAGGCUUGUUUUAAUCCAUAAAUGUAUUUCUUCAUACGACAUCCAUAUGUUAUUUUCCUUCCAUGACAAAACCUUUGGGUUGUGCCAUGUAAAUAUUUUCUUCUAGGUCUCCAUUGAGAAAAGCCGUCUUUACAUCCAUCUGAUGUAACACUAAAUCAUAGUGUGCCACUAAAGCUAUUAUAAUUAUGAAAGAAUCCUUACAUGAGACUGGAGAAAAUGUCUCAUUAUAGUAUAUUCCUUCUCUUUGUGUGAAACCUGUUGCGACAAGUCGUGCUUUUUAUUUUUUGACAUUCCCUUUGGAGUCACAUUUUGUUUUGUAGACCCAUUUACAGCCUACUGUUUUGGCUCCUUUAGGAAUUUGUUCUAAAUGCCUGACUUUGUUGCUACUCAUGGAUCUCAUUUCAUCUUCCAUGGCUUCAAGCCACUUUGAUGAGUGAGAACUUCUCAUGGCUUCUUCAAAUGAGGUGGAAUCUCCCUCCACUUGAACUUCUUCACUGACAUAGACUUCAUAGUCAUUAGGAAUGGCUGGCUUUCUUCCUCUUGGAGACCUUCUGGGGGCCUCAACAUUUGGCACAUCUUCCAUGUGGGGCUGUUGCUACUCUUCCUCAUGUGUGACAAUAGGUUCGAUAGGAUCCUGAAGGAUAGGUUCCUCAUCUUCAUUCAUUGUUGCCACAGGAGAACUAACAACAAGUGUUGUAGCCACAAUGUCCUGUACUGUCAGUGCAGCAACAACAUGUACCGAGAAAAAAGGUUCCUGAAUCAUCGGAGUGGGUACAUAUACCCACUUCUCUUCAAGGUUAAUUUCUCGAGGUACCGUACUCCUCCUAAUCAUCUCAUCUUCUAGAAACACAAUGUGUCUCAUUUCUACAAACUUAUUAUGUAUGUCAGGACAGUAGAAAAGAUAACCUUUUGACUUUUCAGUGUAGCUAAUGAAAUGGCAACUAACUGUCUUAGGAUCUAAUUUCUCAAUGUUUGGGUUAAAGACUUUAGCCUCAACUGGACAGCCCCACACACGCAAAUAAUUAAGUGAGGGCUCUUAUCUAGUCCACAACUCAUACGAUGUUUUAGACACCGACUUACUAGGAACCCGAUUAAGGAUGUGAAUGGUGGUUUUUAACACCUCCAUCCACAAACUAACUGGUAAAGUGGAGUAACUAAUCAUGCUUCUCACCAUAUCCAUUAGGGUACGGUUACGUCUUUCAGCUACUCCAUUCUGUCUAUGCUAUUUUCCUUUAGAAACCUUGCAAAAGGUCCAGGAACUUGUCCAUAUGGGGUAUGUCGACUGUAGUACUCCCCCAUGGUCGAUUCUUACCAUUUUAAUCUUUAAACUAAGCUAAUUUUCUACUUCAGCCUUAAAUAUCUUGAAUUUAUACAACGCUUCUGAACGCUCUUUAAUUGGAUUAAUAUAACCAUAACACGAAUAAUCAUUUAUGAAUGUUAUAAAUGAAUCAUAACCAUCCACAGAUGUCACAGGAAAUGGACCACAGAUAUCCGUAUGAAUUAUUUCUAAAAUUCUUGCGCUUCUUUUGGCGUCUUUCAUAAUUUUCUUAAUGAACUUUCUCUUAAUGCAAUCCAUGCAUUGAUCUAAAUCUAAAAAUUCUAAAGGCGGAAGAAUUGAUUCCUUAACUAACUGUUCUAUUCUCCUCCUCAAAAUAUGGCUAAACGACAGUGCCAUAAUUUCGAAGAUGCAUGAUCAAUUCUUUCCCGCUUAUUCUUUACAUUCAUAGACGAGGAGGCCUUCUAAUUCUCAGCGCUUACAACAUUCACAUUCUCAAAAAGUGAUAAUAAAUAAAGCUCAUCUUGUCUGAAGGCAAGACCAAUAAUCUUAUUAUUAAACUUGAUUUUACAUUGUCCAUCACCGAAAUGACAAGCAAAACCAUCAUCAUCUAAACGCGAUACACUUAUUAAGUUCCUAUGCAAAGAGGGUACACAAAGAAUAUCUCUCAAAUGAAGUACAAAACCAUUUGCUAAUUCUAAUGGGAGUUCUCCAAUGGCUUCGACUUCAGCUUGGACGCCAUUUGCAACUUUAAUGCUUCUAUCUCCUCUUUGCAGGGUCCUCCUCGUAUGGAAUCCCUGUAAUGAAUUUGCAACAUGAACAAUUGUACUUGAAUCAAUCCACCAAGUAUAUUUUUCAUAACUUAAAUACAAGGACUCAUCUACAAAUGUAAUAAGAUCCUCACCUCUAUAACACAGAUGCUUUAGGAAAUCCACACAGCCUUUCUGGUAGUGUCCUUUCUUCUUGCACCACUUGCAAGUGUCCUUGUCCACCACCUCUUCAUGGUUUGAUCUUUGAUGGUGAUCAUACAUUGGAGCCUUUCCAUGUGCCUUAGAAGAAGAGGCGUUCCACUGAGGUUUCCCUUGUGGCUUAGAAUUCUAAAAAUUGCUCUUAUUGUUUUGGCUUAGGUAAUUGAUAGUAUCACCGGACGAGCCCUUAAGACUCUCUUCUUCUUGCACACACAUGGCAAUCAUCUUCUUAAUACCCCACUUUUCAGGCUAUGAGUUGUAAUUCACAGCAAAGGUCUCAAACUCUUUGGGCAGUGAGGUAAAGAUUAGAUGGACUAUAAACUCUUUUGGAAGCUCCAUUUCCAUAGACUUAAGCUUGGAAGACAUAUUGUUCAUUCUCAAUAUGUGAUCCCUUAUUCCACUGCCAAUAUACUUAAUAGUAACAAGCUAUCUUAUGAGAGUGCUUGCAUAUGCCUUUGAAGAUCCAGUAAACUGACUCUCCACACUCCACAUUUGUCAAGUACUCCUUAGAUCUACAACACGUACUUCCUAGAGGGGAGAGUGAGAGGAUGACCGACCGUCGGGCUUCAUCGGAGGACGCCAUGGCGGUGUUGGUGACAGCAACGUUGACGCAGAGGUUAGGUGUUGGCGGUGCUUCCUGCCACUGACAGCGUCUCCAGUAGAUCAGCUAGGGUUUGUUGGUGGGUUUGGUGGGCAUGGUGAACCUUGGCUUGCAUGCCCUCGGCCCCCACCUUUCCUUUUAUUUGGUGCUGCGCGACGGGGCCCCACCAACCAUGACUGGUUGUGCGCCCCCGAUCAGGGCGCGAGAUAAGGCUCGGACUCGUCCGUUGGGAGAUCAAACUAACAAAUACGAGUGAGCGAGUGAGCGAGUAACACUUUAUCUUUGGAUAUGAUCCCAAAUUACAUGCUUUUUUUUCCCAGGUGCAUAGUUGUAUGAUGCUUGAGCUAUAGCAUUGCCAAAUUCAUCACUGCUUUCCCUAUUACACAGGUAUUUUCUUCACAUCAAAUGGAUCCACUAGCCAAGCUAUUAUUUUUUUGUUGGAGAUCGAAAAGAUCUGUUGCAUUGAUUCAGAUUGAAUUUACUACAAGCUUAGAGGGUGAUCCUGAUUCGGGCGUGCAGCAGGCAAUCUUGUUUAUCCUAAUUUUAACUUGUGUCUCCAUGCAAGAUAUGUUAAAGCAGCAAUAAGCUGCAUAGCCUGGCAUUAAAUGCGCACUAUAUGUGCAGAAACUUAUAUUUUCACUCAAAGAUCACAGCGAUUAGGCUCGAGCUUGCAACUCAGAAAAUAGAGAGGCUGGAACAAGCGAUCAAAGGCUGCGAAUAACACUCAGAAUAAGCUAUGCUCAGUCUAAACCCCCUCCGCGCAAAAGGAUGAACGGUGGGGUGACAUUUUUCAAAUCGAAAAUUCAUCUUGUCCUUUCGCACAAAGGCUUUAGCCUCAGCUAAAACUAUCGCAGCAACGCAAGAAGGUGACGUUUUUCAAAAAGGCAUCCUCACUCCCCUUUUUCCUCAGGUCCUAGGCUCGAUCCUGACUAUGAUUUAUGUUAGCUCACUUACAAUGCUCGAAAAGAGCAUGCCAAGCCACAAAUAAACCUCAUAGUGUAAGCCACGAAGUCGGUAACACCAACCCAAACCAGCAACCUUGUAAAAUUUCAUGGUUGAAGCAACUAAGGGUGCGAUAUCAACCAAACUGCAGUUACUUUUUAAGUCAACAAAACUCGAAAAUAAGUUUUUCGUUGACUUAUCUUGACGAUUAUCAAGAUUCACCUAACCUCGCUCCAAGAAAAAGUUAAGAAGGGUGGACUGACAUUUUUUGGAAAAAGUAAAGCUUGUUAAUUCUGUCUUUCGCUGUCUGUUCCUAAAAAACAAAAAUUUUCAACAGCAGCAUCUAAGCUCAUUUUUUCGUGGAAAAGAAUGAAAAGGGGGGUGACAUUUUUUAACAAACAAAAUCGUUAUCAUCCUCUUUCCACGAAGAAACAACCUCGAGUAGGACCUGCGAGCAUGCGACAUGGGGUUACAUUUUUCAAAAAGUGCUUCUCAUCCCUUUGUGAUCAGAAUUUUGGCCCAAAGCCAACAAGCAAAUUCCCGUCGCCUAACUCAAGAAACUGGCACAAAACUAAAAAUCUACGCGCAAAGGAGCAAAGGGGGUUGACGUUUUUCAAAAAGAAAAAGCAACCCUCGCUCCUUUGCACUAUAAAUUCAGUUAAACAAACAUUUAAAGACCGAGGUAAAAAGAAACCGGCAAGGAUAAUCACGUUAGAAGCAACUAGUCUAAGCAGGAGUUCUGACCAAGCAAUCAAUAUUUACAAGCCUGGUCUACAAAAGCAGCCCCAUAAGUAUCAAAUGUAUCACAGUGAUCUCAAUAACAAGCAUCAGCCCCUAGCUAGCUCCGACAAGCUACUGCUCCCCUUGAUCAGCACCUUCCUCCCCGCCUUCACCUUUUGCUUCCUCCUCCUUGGUCUGCGGAAACAUGAAGACCAACAUCAGGUGAAAUACGAGACAAAACAAAACAAAAAAAAACUACGACCUUUGCAAGCCGCUCCUGAGCCACCAGCCUCGUUUACUCUC
rnacentral:lncRNA from 1 species